UCUAGAUUUUUCAGUGCAAGAUCCAACUUCCUUUAUGACUGGGCAUAUGCAAGUGAAAUCUUCCGGGAAGAAUAAUUAGCUCUGGGCGUGUCAACUAUUAGUACAGCAUGGGGCAUAGGGUUGAUAGUUGGCCAAUCUGUUGGGGGCUUCUUGGCUCAGAUACUUCGAUUUCCGGUCCUUAAUUUGAAAGGGAGGAAAUGUUAUACCAUGCUUCCACGAGCUAAAAAUAUCAAGCAUCCUUUUCUUAAGGUUGUGUAAUUCCUGUUGUGCUUUCCUAAGAUUUACAGUUAAGGAAAAUAGUGAGCCAACAUAUUCCAUUUUCGAAGGCAUAAAGUAGUUAUGCUUCUUAUUUAUGAAUUACAACUGGUAAAGGUAUUUAUCAUGACAUGAUUAAGUUGACAAAUCUUUUGAAGUAAAAAUUGUUUAGUAGAAGUCAAGUUUCAGCAGAGAUUUAAAUUUCAGUGAUGAUGGCAAAUACUAUAAGCAAAAUGAACAAACUAUGAUGGAAACACAAAUGAAGAAGAGUAUAAAACAAUGUCGUAUAUGUCAUAGUAAUUCCCGUAGGAUUAAAGCCUCUUCCGCUCUAACCUGAAUAGGUAAUUUGAAGGAAUUUCCUGAGUAUUCUCUGUGUAUGUCUCUCUCUUCCUGCUCGAAGUUGCAAUGUAUUAAUUUGAUGUAACAGGACAACCUUGUCGUUCAGCCUGCAAAGAAGUAUCCAAAUAUCUUUUCAAAAAAUUCAUCGUUUGGAAGGUUUCCAUACUUCUUGCCUUGUUUUUGUAUAUCACUUUUAGCAAUGAACAUUGCAUAAGCACAAUGAAAAUGGUAGAUCAAGUGCUGCUUCCAAGAAAGCAUUGGAAACUGCAUCUUGUGUUUUCUGAUACAGAGAAUCCUAAGAAAAGUCUUUCUAGGAAUUGGCCCUUAAUGUCUUCAAUCCUUGUUUAUAGUGAUUUCUCAGUUCAUGACAUGGCAUAUACAAAGGUUUUUUUCAUUAUGGGCCAUGAGUCCUCAAAAGCUUGGGGGGUUGAGUUAUUGAACUGAGAAUGUUGGUCAAGUGUUUGCAGUGUCUGGUUUUAGUCUUCUUGUCUUCCAAAGUUUUCUAUAUCCACCUUUGGAAAAGGCCAUUGGUCCCAUAGUGACUGCUAGCAUUGCAGGACCUCCAUUAUAACAGGCUUGUUCCUUCUACAAAACAGAGCUGUGGAUCAAGAUCAAAGAUGUGUCCUAAAUUCAACUUGAUCAUGUAUUCAACAUCAGGAUCAAGAUCAAAGAGGUGCUGCUAAUGGCAUUGCAAUGACUUUAAUGUCUCUGUUCAAAGCAGUUGGCCCAGCUGGAGGUGGUACACUGUAUGUUUGCUUUUCCAUCACCUCUCCUUAACAAAUAAAUCACCUAAAUUCAGUAAAUUACUAGCAACAAUAAAUACACCCUGCAAUUUUCAACGAAUAUAUUUGUAGAGCAAUUCAGAUGUUUAAAAGACCAUAAGUACUAUUUUUUACCUAACCAAAUUAAUUUGUGUUGUCACAUGCUCUUGGCACAAUUUACUUUCAUGAUAUGGGGUCUU